GCAGGGGCGGAAUAUCUCGUGCUGGUAGGAGCACGUGCUUAAACAAUGGCCCGCUACAGAGACACAGAGUUCUUCAUUUUCUUCCCGGCGGCCGUCGCCUGAGUCGCACAGGGGCGGCUGCUCCUUCUCCCGCCCUGCCGUCGCCACCGCAGUAUCUUGGACGGGGCCCCAGGAUCUUCAACGGCGCAGCCGCCCGGCGGCCCUCUCUCAGUCGCACGAUGUUCGGACGGCGCCGGAGAUCCGUUCCUCCGCGGGUCGUGGUGGAGAUCCCUCGCAUAGGAUAACGGCAUGGGUGGUGAAGGCAUCUCGAUAGAUGAAUUUAUGGAGUAUGACUCGAUGGUCAUGCAGACAUUUAAAAGCGAGAACGAAGCUUACAAGUUCUACUUAGGGUAUGUGAAGAACAAAGGGUUUGUGACUAAACUUAGUAUGAUGGCUCGGUGGAGAAAGAGAAAAGAGAACAAUGACGAAGUGUGUGCUAAGAAGAAAAGACCUUUGAAGUUUAUGUAUUUUCAGAAAUAUUGUACAUGUUGAACCCUGUUUCGAUACCAUGUUAAUUUAUUUAAUUUCCUACAGGAAAACACCUGGAAAGUCAAGUAGACAGACUAAGAUGACAAGGGGAACACAAGUAUUAUACAUUCAGAUUUUUACUAUGGCAUUUA